rnacentral:rRNA from 1 species
AGUGAACGCUGGCGGUAGGCCUAACACAUGCAAGUCGAACGGCAGCACAGUAAGAGCUUGCUCUUACGGGUGGCGAGUGGCGGACGGGUGAGGAAUACAUCGGAAUCUACUUUUUCGUGGGGGAUAACGUAGGUAAACUUACGCUAAUACCGCAUACGACCUACGGGUGAAAGCAGGGGAUCUUCGGACCUUGCGCGAUUGAAUGAGCCGAUGUCGGAUUAGCUAGUUGGCGGGGGAAAGGCCCACCAAGGCGACGAUCCGUAGCUGGUCUGAGAGGAUGAUCAGCCACACUGGAACUGAGACACGGUCAAGACUCCUACGGGAGGCAGCAGUGGGGAAUAUUGGACAAUGGGCGAAAGCAUGAUCCAGCAAUACCGCGUGGGUGAAGAAGGCCUUCAGGUUGUAAAGCCCUUUUGUUGGGAAAGAAAAGAAGCAGGUUAAUACCCCGCUGUUCUGACGGUACCCAAAGAAUAAGCACCGGCUAACUUCGUG